rnacentral:rRNA from 1 species
GACGAACGCUGGCGGCGUGCUUAACACAUGCAAGUCGAACGGAAAGGCCCUGCUUUUGUGGGGUGCUCGAGUGGCGAACGGGGGAGUAACACGUGAGUAACCUGCCCUUGAAUUUGGGAUAACAUCAGGAAAAUGGGGCUAAUAUCGGAUAGGAUCUCCUGCUGCGUGGGGGGGGUUGGAAAGUUUCGGCGGUUGGGGAUGGACUCGCGGCUUAUGAGCUAGUUGGUGGGGUAGUGGCUGACAAAGGCUUUGACGGGUAGCCGGCCUGGGAGGGUGACCGGCCACAAUGGGACUGAGAUACGGCGCAGUCUGCUACGGGAGGCAGCAGUCGGGAAUAUUGCACAAUGGGCGGAAGCCUGAUGCAGCAGCGCCGCGUGCGUGAUGACGGCCUUCGGGUUGUAAACCGCUUUCGCCUGAGACGAAGCGUGAGUGACGGUAAUGGGUAAAGAAGCACCGGCUAACUACGUG